GGGGACGACUUGGCUUCGACUGGAGCUAAAGGUCUGUAAUUGCAUGUCGGACUGAGCAUCUCCGUUACACGGCUCACAUUGCUUAAAUGCAAACAACACAAAUUACCGCCCAGCUUUAGCAGUAGCUUAAGUUUUACCCCCUCAUAAGAGGACGGGCUGCUUCACCUAUGGACUCUAGAUAAGUAGGAUUCGAAGUAUAACCCUUUAUGUAGAUAUAUCUUUAGUCUGUCUCAACUGAAGAUGAAACCCUGAGGCUCGUCUUGUGUAACUUUGCAAGUUGUGUGAAGCAAGAUUAAACUCAAACGACUUCUCUAAGCAUGUAGACGUUGCAGAAACUUGGUUUUAGGACUGCGGUUCGAUCCCGCACGUCUCCACCA
rnacentral:tmRNA from 1 species